rnacentral:rRNA from 1 species
CCUACGGGAGGCAGCAGUGGGGAAUAUUGCACAAUGGGGGGAACCCUGAUGCAGCGACGCCGCGUGAGUGAAGAAGUAUUUCGGUAUGUAAAGCUCUAUCAGCAGGGGAGAAAAUGACGGUACCUGAGUAAGAAGCCCCGGCUAACUACGUGCCAGCAGCCGCGGUAAUACGUAGGGGGCAAGCGUUAUCCGGAUUUACUGGGUGUAAAGGGAGCGUAGACGGCAGUGCAAGUCUGGAGUGAAAGGCGGGGGCUCAACCCCCGGACUGCUGUGGAAACUGUACGGCUGGAGUGCAGGAGAGGUAAGUGGAAUGCGUAGUGUAGCGGUGAAAUGCGUAGAUAUUAGGAGGAACACCAGUGGCGAAGGCGGCUUACUGGACUGUAACUGACGUUGAGGCUCGAAAGCGUGGGGAGCAAACAGGAUUAGAUACCCUUGUAGUC